GUCCUCAAAUUUUAAUUUAUUAUAAUUUUUUGCUCAAUUUUUUAAAAUUAUUACAACUAAAUUUUAGUUGUCCAAUUUAGUUUUCUGGAUGUUGAUAUUUCGCUGAUCGAUGUGAUAGUAACGUGACAUUUUGGUAAUUGAAAGUUCAUUAAUUACGGCACCACAGCAUCAUUACUACAUUAACAGCACAUUAUUAUUUAUCCGACUGUAAGGCUUAAUUGUAAUAAUUUCAAAAGUUUGAGCAAAAAAUUAUAAUAAAUAAAAAUUUGAGGACCAAAAUAUCUCGCGCCUCAAACUCUGGAGUAUUCUACAACACAAAAAGUAAAUAGUUAUACAAAACACAUCUUUCAAAAACAUACGUUCUAAUUAAACUGCAACACUCUGGGUCUCAGGUGCAGCACUCUGAGCACGAAUCUUAUGGACCUUCUCGAUGAAGGCGGACGCUUUUUGGUCGACAUUGCGGUCGUAGAAGUAGUCGUCCUCGACGUCCGGCCGCACCCUUCGCUGCGCACGCCGCGACUCCUCCUCGCCGGCCUCCCCCGCUGUUGUGCCGGAAGACUUCAAACAAGAACAGAAACAACCCAUUUGAACUCUCUUUUGUAUUUUAGAAUGGUGAACUUGAGUUGGUUUUACUUCAAAGGGACAUGUAGUGCUCUCCUCCAAAUUUAUAGGGACGAGUUAGAAAACUUAGAAGGGAGUGAGAAGCACGGUUUGGUUCAACACGGUUCGGUUGGACGGUGGAGAUUGGCCGGUUCGAUGCAUAAAUUGAGGCACUGUGAUGGUCAAUCAAACCGUCCAAAAUGCUGCAGAUACAUAUAUUCUCAGAUUCUGCCAUUCUCUUUCCUUUCUAAACAUUGACCGCAUGCGAGAAUCUUUAAACGGUCAGGCUUUCUUUGGUUCGGUAUAAGUAAGAACUGUUUAUUUUAGAAAAAAAUAUAAAUUUAUGUAUAAGUCUAAAAUAGACUGAUUUUGCGUUUGAAUGAAAAUUGAGUUGCUUUCGAGAAUAAGAAGAAUAGAUAAGAUAAAACAAAAAGAAUAGUGGAUAGUUAUAAAUAAAAAAUAAUGAUAUUGCCUCUUAUAUUAUAUUUAAAUUUAAAUUUUUAAAUUUUAUAUUAAAAUUUUAAAUUUAAAUAUAUAAUUUUUAAAUUUCAAAUUUUAAAUUUAAAUUUUUAAAUCUCAAAUUCGAAAAUGCAAAGUUCUAAAUUUUAAAUUUAAGAUUAAAUCUAAAUUUAAAAAUCUAAAAUAUCAAAUUUUAAAUUAAAAAAAUUUAAAAUAUCAAUUUAAAAUUUAAAAUUUAAAAUUAUAAAUUUUAUUUUUCAGAUUAUAAAUUAUAAAUUUUUAAAAUUUAAAUUUAAAAAUUAAAUAGGGAUGGAAAGAUUGUUAACCCUAUCCCCGACACCCCCUAUACUGGAGGGGUCGUGAUUAAAAAUUAACACCGUUUGGGGAUAAAGAGGGGGAUAACCCCUUAUCCCUCUCAAUCCCCCAACCAAACGGGCACUUUUAGUAUACAUUCUUUUGCACUGUAAUAUUUAGACUAAAUUGCAGAAACCAUUUUAUAAAUACUUAUUAUUUUUUUUUAUUUUUCUGCUAUAACUGUCAAAAAUCCACAUUUUACUCUCUCAAUAUUUCAAAUUAUUGUAUUUAGCUCCCCUCUGUCAGGGUUCUAUCACGAUUCUGUCCAUUUUUUAUAAUUUAUGCCAAAAAUGCUCUUCAAAAUGACAGAAAUAAUUAAAAAAUUAUUUUUUCUUAUAUAAGAAGUAAGGGUAAUUUGGUCAUUUUGUCAUCUCCAUUAACGGUGUACCCUUUUAAAAGUAUUUCUGAAAUUUUAUGGAGGGUAAAAUGUAAGUUUUUGAAAGUAAGGAAGGAAAAAUAAAAAAACGAAUAUUUACAUGAGGGUUUUCCGUAAUUUAGCCUAACAUUUAUUGAGUUUUGCUGAGCUACUAUUGAUAACAAACAGCUUGAUUUACUAUCAAUUUGUUUUUGAUGAUGGGGUUUCCAAAUCGACAAUUGGCACUGUUGAACAUGGCCUAGACCAUUUAAACUAUCUAGAUAUAAAAUUUUAUACUUUUCAAUAUCACUAACUGAACGAUCAAAGGAUCACAAAAUUUAUAAUUUUAAUAGCUGAUAGGGUACGUUUGCUUGUUUAACGGUACAAAAAAGUCCAAAUCAGCUGAAUUUUUGUUAAAUUUUUUUUAAACUAUUUCAAACAAGAUCUAGACUCUAAAUUUUGAAUAUAAAAAUUGUAUCAUCACUUUUUGAAAGAUAUUUAUUUUCAGUUAUUUAUUUUAUGUCCACUUAAUGGAUAAGUAAACAAUACCGGAAAAAAUAAAGACAUAGUUAUUAUAGUUUAAUUAAAAAUCAAUUUUGGUGAGAAUAAAAAUAUUAAUUUUUGCAUAAACUAGUAUAAUGCCGGAAUGAUUCACCAUCUAGCCAUACACUAGAUUUUCAGUCUUUUUUUCUUAAAUAAAGAUGACUCGGAACCAUUUCAAAAAAUAGCUAUUUUAAAAAAUUCUCAAACAUUCAUUAUAUACUAGUAAAGGCCCACGCUUCGUGGCGGGAAAUUUACGUAAUUUACUAAAUAUUUUGAACAAACUUGUUUAAUUUAUUUAUUUUAAGAUCUAAAUUAAAAUUGUAAACAUAACACAUUAAUAGAAUCAAAUGAUAAUUCUUUUGAGUUGUCUUUUUUACCUGAGUUGCUUAAAAUUCGAAACGCAGAGAGCCCGGCCGUACCGGCUUAGGAUUCCCGAUUAAAAGGAUAUAUAGAUAUAGAUUUAUAUUUUAAAUUUAAAAUUUUAAAUUAAGUACAAAAUUUUAAUUUCUGUUAAGAAGAGAUUCAGUUUAAAAUUUAAAUUUAUAUUUAAUUUUUUUUAAAUUUUGUGGGUUCCACAGGGAAAAAGCAAAAAAAAAAAAGCCCGCUCCGCGUCGGCUCGCGCCAGCUCCCGCUCGCGAUCCAUCAAAAUAAGAGAUUCGAUUUAAAAUUUAAAUUUAAAUUUUAAUUUAUAUUUAAAAUUAAAAUUUUUAUUUUUAUUUUUUGUAUGUAACUUAAAUUUAUAUUUAUUUUUUAAAAUCUGGUGGGUCCGCAACAUGAAAAAGCAUAAGAAAGCCCGCUCCGCGCGGUUCGCAGCUCCGCCGGUCCCGUCUUCGCUCGUACUUCCCGAACCAUUCAAAAUAAGAGAUUCGAUUUAAAAUUUUAAUAAAUUUUAAUCUAUAUUUAAAAUUUAAAUUUAAAUUUAUUUUUUGGAUGUGAGUCAUAAUACUGGGGCAAAAUACGGGAAAAAAAUAAGUAGUAAAAAGAAAAAAAAGAGAGAGAGAGAGAGAGAGUGAAGUCUAGAAAGGGAAAAAAAAAAAAGCAAAGAGAGAAGAGAAGAGAGAGAGAGAGAGAGAUUGAGUGAGCGAUAAAAAGGAAAAAAGGAGAGAGAGAGAGAGAGAGAGGAGUGAGAGGGAUGGAUGAUCCACAUGGAAAAAGCAAAAAAAAAAAAAAAAAAAAAAAAAAAAAAAGCCUGCCUCGCGCGGUCUCCGCCCGCUUCGCCUGCCAGCGCGCGCCCCGCGGCGGCACGUGCGCAACCGCCGGCCCGCUCGCUGCCCGCCGCCCGCCGCUUCCAUGCGCCUCUGCCGUCUGCCGCUCCACGCCUCGCCGGCUCGCACGUUUCGCGGAGAGCCUGCCGUAACCGCUCGCCGGCGCCACGCUGCCACCGCCCCAUCCUGUCCUGCCGCGCUACCUGUCGGCCACCGCCUCCUGCUGCAUGCCCGCUGGGAAGGGGAAGAAGAGAGAGAAGGGGGGGGAGGGAGAGAGCGGGGGGAGGGGAGGUAAAAGGAGGAGAAGGAGGGAAGCAGCGCCGCGGGGUUGCAGGGCCGGAACCCCCCGGGCGACCCGCACACAAGCCGGGCCAGGCACGCCACGUGGCUUCUGCGAGAGAGAGAGGGGGAGGGCACCGGGGGAUGGGGGUGGAGAGAGGGAGAGAGAGAGAAAGAGAAAGAGAGAGAGAGAGCCGGGGGGGGCCUACCAUGUGCGCGGGUCCCCUCUCGCGGGCUCACGCGAGCAGAGAGAGGGAGAGAGAGACUGAGCUCUCUCUCUCUCUCUCUCUCUCCUUCUACUCUGCUCUCUCUCUCUCCCUCUGUUCUCUCUCUCCCCCUCUCUCUGUACGCUCUCUCCCCCUCUCUCUGUACGCUCUCUCUCUCCUCCCUCUGUUCUCUCUCUCCUUCUCGCGAGGCACCCGCAAAAUGCGGGGAGCCCGCUGCAGGGCGGGGGUUCGCUGCGGAGGCGACGCGUGGCGGGUUGAGGGUUCGCCUUUUAUUAGUUGUAUAGAUAAAUUUUUAAAGUUAAUUAUUUAAAAAUUAAUUUAUAAAAUUAAAUGGUCAGUAUACAUUCUUUUUUUUUUUAUAACAACAUUUUAUUUUUAUAUAAAAUAUAGUUGAGGGUUGAGAGAGAGAACUAGAUGGGGACUUGGACUAGAAUUUGUAGCUGACAUUGGCUCAAAUGAGUUGGUUUGCAGUAAGGCGUUUGGAUUGAUGAAUCUGUAGGUCCAACGUAAGUCAAGUGUAGUAGUAUUUGAAUUUUCCUAAAGUGUGAUUAUUUUUUUAUUAUCUGUUUUGACGUAACUAAUACAGUCUGAAAGUUAAAUUUAAUUAUUUCUUCUGUUUAUUUUGAUGUAACUUGGUGCUGGUAAAAUUAGUUUUUUGAGUUCCGUUGUUUGUUUUGAUGUAAGUAAGUGGAUCCCAUUAUCUCCUAAAUAUAGUAGUAAAUUUAUCACUAUAAAAUUUAAUCUAUUAUAUAAUUAAAUUUUUUAUUAUUAUUUAAAGAUAAUCCUAAUUUAUUAUAAAUAAAGUAAUUCUAACCCCUUAUAAAGGAAGUAGAGUUUAAGUUUUACUAUUUAAUAAAUUUUUUAGAGGAGGUUGAGUGUGGUGGAAGUAGAGUUCGGCACUUUAGAGGAGCAAAUCGAAAGUAGGUGAAGUGGAGGUCUAAUGUAACUCGAGUUAUAUUAUAUUUUUCACUUACAUCAAAACAAAUAAAGGAAGUGAUGGAACUUGAGUUCCAUCAUUCCAUUUACACCAAAACAAACGGAAGCGCUGGAUUGAUGUAACUUUAAUACAGUUGAAAGUCAAGGAAACACUUUUUGGAUUUAAAAUAAUUUUAUAUAUAAAAUAUAAUGGUACUAUACUUUUUAACUCAAUUAUAGUAUUUGGGACGGUGGUUGGGUCCAAUAAGUUAAAAGGGUUAAAUAUGCUAAAACUAAAGUAAUUCUAAGAUUGGUAAUUUUUUUGUUAAGUGGGGCAUUAUAAUCAAGUUUGGUGAGACUUGGGAGCAACAAUAGUAGCCAUGCCACCAAUUCUAAAUAUAUUCUACGAAGGUAAAUUACACUUUUGGUCCUCAAACUUUGCACCGCGUGAAGCUUUGAUUUUUAAAUUUUAAUUUGUUACAGUAUUUUCAAAUGACCUCCUUCCCAUGCAAUUAAUUAUAAAAAGAUGUAAAAGUAUUGCACCAUUAAAAAGUAUGUUGUGCUGUUUGAUCAUACGGGCUGUACUAUUUAAUAGAAUUUUACACUAUUUUAUAGUUUAUUGCAUUUGUUGAAUAGUGUAAUAUAAUAUAUUUUCUAAUUAUGUAACAACUUGUUAAAAGUUGUAAUAUAGUUUAAAUGAUGCAGUAUUUUUAUUAUUUUUAAUAGAUAACAAAUAAAGAAGUAAGAAAAAAAAAACGACUAAGGAAAAGAAAAAAAAAAAAGAAUAUUUUUAUUUUUAUUUUAUAAUUUGUUGCUCUUAUUCGUCUCUCUUCUUCCUCUCUCUCUUUCCUCUUCUGCCCACCUCGGCGUGGUGGUCGACAGUAAGGUUAAGGGAACAAUGAUGGUAGUUCACGGUUUGGAUGAGAAGGAGCGGGAGGUUGGCGUUGGAGGCAAUGCAGGUGAGCUCAAGGUCUCAUUCUCCUCUGAAUUACUCUUGGGAUACCUCACAAUUCAGAUGGUAGAAAAGACGAGGGAUGGUGGAGAAUCCUAAUCUUCCGACAAAAACCCUAAACUCUUCUAUGUAGCAAUGGCGGAAAAGAAGUUUGACUUCUUGCCUCUAAUAAACCAUAUCGUCAACUUCCGUCAUUUUCCGUCAAGCUCCGUUAAUCAAAAACUAAUAAAAGGGAUAAUAUGAAUAGAAUAUUAGAGUUUAGAAUGCUAGAUGUCUAUUUUAAGAGUUUGAGGGAUAAAAUAAUUCUCUGCCAAAAGUUUAGAGGGUAACAGUGCAAUUUACUCUAAAAAGUUUGAAUUAGAAAUUAUAAUAAAUUAAACUUUGAGAAUUAAAGUGUCAUGCAAUCCUAAAACUAUCAGUUUAAAUCUCUUUAAACUGGUAGACUUUUUAACUCUUUAAAACUACCAACAUCCCAGUUCUUUCCCUUCUACCUAAGAACAUAGCAAUCCGAGUACUAAUCACACACACCAACCCUUAUUUUCUGUAAAUUUCAGUUUUGGUUCCCAAACUUUGUGGCUUAUGAUAUUUGGUCCUCAAAUUUUAAUUUAUUAUAAUUUUUUGCUCAAUUUUUUAAAAUUAUUACAACUAAAUUUUAGUUGUCCAAUUUAAUUUUCUGGAUGUUGAUAUUUCGCUAAUCGAUGUGAUAGUAACGUGACAUUUUGGUAAUUGACAGUUCAUCAAUUACGGCACCACAGCAUCAUCACUAUAUUAACAAUAUAUUAUUAUUUAUCCAAUUAAAUUGGACUAUAAGGCUUAAUUGUAAUAAUUUUAAAAGUUUGAGCAAAAAAUUAUAAUAAAUUAAAAUUUGAGGAUCAAAAUAUCUCGCGCCUCAAACUUAAAAGUAUUCUACAACACAAAAAGUAAAUAGUUAUACAAAACACAUCUUUCAAAAACAUACGUUCUAAACUGUAACACUCUGGCUCUCAAGUGCAGCACUCUGAGCGCGAAUAUUAUGGACCUUCUCGAUGAAGGCGGACGCUUUUU
rnacentral:lncRNA from 1 species